ACUGCGCUGGUCAGCAAGCACCCAUGUCCCAACUGUCUGCUUCCCACCUUUACAAGCCCUAAAGCAGCAUUGAAAAUAUACAGCCUAAACUUAAGGAAGCUCAAACCUAUAUGUUCAAGACCCAAAAUAAGUCUCAGGGUAGGGAGAUUGUUUUAAUUCUUGCCACAUGUCCUUUGCUUAGAUCAGCCACUAUGUAAGCCCUCGGUGCUUGCAUUUAGUUUUUGGUUCAUUCGUCUCAAUCACCAGUUCUCGACCUGCGUGCUACUUGCGGCCCAAUCAGCAUACAGCUGCAGUCCAUGUGACAUGCUCAGGGCCAGACAGUAUAUAUACUGCAUAAAUGCAGCCCCCAUUAACACAGAGACAGCUGCAUAUGCAGCCCACAUUACAGGGAAAGCCACUGUUCUAAAUACAAGCAAAACAAACUGCCUGCCAAUCAAACAUUUCUCAAGCCCCUACCCCAAAUGCUCACAAGCACAAAUUGUCCCUGUUUUUGCUACAGCAUCUUUCUUAAAAGCAACAGUUUAAAAAGUGGGCCUGGAUUUACUCCGCUGCUUUCGGGGUUUGUCUCCCGAUGGAGCUAUUCUGGGAGAGCGGCGUAGCGCAGUAGGUGUAAUGAGAGAGGCAGUGUAGUCUACUAAAUAGAGUAUUGGACUCAGACUACACCAGUUAAUUCAUGGCUUGCCGCUGACUUCGGGUGAGUUCAUUCAGUUCUUUGUGCCUCUUUUUCUCCCCUCUGGUUACUUGGGCAGCAAUUUGGAGCAGAAACGGACUCUCUCAGUGUUUAUACAACAUCUCUCACGCUGGAGACCCCGAUCUACGACUGAAAUGGAACACAAACAACUUUUGUUGCAAGCGGAAUGCGGCAGCCUCCUAAAACUGUUUAUACCUGUAAGUGUGGAGUGAUAUACACACAUCGAGAUUGAAAAGACUGGGACGUUGUGGAGGAGAACAAGAGAAGACAAGGUGGCAGUGCGCAAAAUAAUUUUUUGCACAGAAAAGAUAAAUCAGGAAUUCGUCUAUAGAAGACAACUGCCCAUUACUGCAAUCAGCUCACGCUGCCCCCACCUUCAGCUCAGCUGGUAGAGAUGUGCGCUUUGGUAAUGACAGUCCUGGGUUAAAACACGCAUGAUGACAAGGGUUGAGUUUAGUGCAAACAACUGCACCUUGAGCACUGAUGGAGCUGAGUCACUUACCUCCCAAAGGGCUGUGUUGACAAAAGGGCUACAGCCCACAAUCAUUUUUCAUAUGGAACAUCCAUUGACUUUGGGCCUGCAAACUAUGAAGUCACCCUUGGUGGGAGGAUUCAUGUGCAUGUGAACAAGUCUCAAGAGAAUGGCUACAGAAUCGUUGGCAGGAGGGCAAAAGGAUGAACACACUUAAAAACCAAGUGCAUGUUAUUUGUGUUGUAGGAUAGUCUUUCAUCUCUCCCUACUCCCCACUCUAAACUGAUGUGUCAUUUUGUUGUGUGCUGUUAAUCAGUAGCUGGUUCUUAUGAUAGAAUUGCUGCACCUCAGUAGUGGGUGGCAUCAUUUCAUAUGAGAGAUCAAAGCAUGACACCUCAGCAUGUAAAAGAGGAACUCCAGGAACUGAACUCCUUGCAAGUAAUACUGUUGGUUGGUUGUAUCAUUAGCAAUGUGACAGUCAGCAGAUCUCUGCAGAAAGAAUUUAGUUGUUUGGCUUAUUUGAAAGCCUUUUGUUUCAAGAGGUCAUUAAAUAUUGCUCUAGGGGAUUGGUUCUCUUCU